CAAAAUAACAAAAUUUUCUAGUUUCAAAAAUUCGUUUUGGCAGAAAUUUGGCAAUGCAAUAUUUUCAUUAAAAUAAUUAUUUUUCAACUCUUUCAAAUGUCUAAAUUCUAAAAAUUUGGUUUGGCUUAUACGGUUUAUAUUUGGCAAAUUCAGAAGUACAAGAAAAAGUAAGUGCAAUAGAAAACACAGGCAGAAUGGCUAACACAAUUGAACUCUUACAUGGCUACACCGAUGCUGAGCGCGACGAAAUUCUUUUCAGCUCCAAUUUGGGAGCGGCGAUCUUGAGCUUCCCAAUUGGUAUGCUUUAUUCCUCGAUCGUAGCUAUAGCGUCUUCGGCAGCAGAACCUCAGUUGAGGGAGGUUUGCUUCUAUUAUCUCACGCCGUCCAUAGUCCAACGACUGUCGAGCGCUAGCUGUAGGGAAUUAGAUCUUGCCCUUUUUCUAAACGAUCACCGCUUUGAUAGGAUUAAUGUUUACGAGACCAAAAAUUAUUUAACUCAAAAUGAAAUAGCAAAUAUUGUUGCCAGUUUAGUAAGUAGACAGGUUAUGGGACCUACAAAUAUUGCUAAUUAAUAUCAUUUGAAUGGUUCCAACACCACAGUGUAGCUGGGAGUGUUCAAUCCUUACUACUUACUUCUUCAUCUGUAUGUGAAAAGGUAUGUACUAUGUUUAUGUGAUUAUGAAUGAGUCCAAAUGUCCUUAGGAGUACAAUAAUAAAUUGAUGUGGACUUCAUAAUAAUACACAGGUGUGUACAAGAGAAAACAACAUUGUGAAAAGUUUAAAAGUUUUUAGCAAAAAACUUAUUAUUGAGAGGAAUUAAUACCUUCUUAAAAAUUUUUAAUGGAUUGAGCAACAAUGAUGUCCUAAUGACCCAUAAAAAAAUCCCAGCAUAUUGGACAAUUUGAGUAAUAUAAUGAGGACUAAUAUGACUUUUUGAGCUCUUCUAAUAAGAAAAAGUAAAUAUGCUUGAAUCAAAUACAUCACUUAUUGUCCGAUUUUUUGAAUUGCGUGUUAAUUGGAAGGAAGAGUACUACAAAAAUGAGGAAAAAUUUAUUAUUGACCACUGUAAAUAGGACGCGCAAGAACCAAACAACAAGGAAUAAGGAAUUUAAUCAGUUCUGGAUUGCAACAAAAACAGGUAAAAUGUAAAAGAAGCUUAACAUAAGUCUGAGAGCCAUGUCCAUGUAGCAACAGAGAAACGGCAUUUGUUUUAUAUUGAGAAAAUAAAAUAUCUAGAAUCACAAAAGCCCAAAAAAAUGUAAUAGCGUUCCAUUGUCACAGUAUACGUUUUAGUACUAGAAAAUAUGAAAUCAGGAGCUUAGCAGGCAUUGCAUACAGCCUUCACUGCAGCCUUUUUGCUUUCAUUACAUAUAAGUUAUGAUCUAAAUUUUAACGUGAAUUAUGCAGAUGUAAUCGGUACACCUAUGAAAAGAAACAAAUCAAACCCCUAAACAGGCCUAUUACAACGAUGAUCAAACUGUAUAUGGGAUUUACUAAGGUUCUAUAGUUUAUUGCACUUAUUUAUAUUACAUCAAGUCCGAAGCAAUCGUAUUUACUUUAAGAAAUUUAGAUUAACUGGCCCCAAAAACCACACUGCUGACUCCAAACAAGACCGCCGUCAGAGAUAACGCAGAUAUAAUAAAGUUUUUUGAUUACAUAUUUAUCGCUACUAGUGGGAGGUAUCUGAGAUAAAAAUAUAUAUACAUAUUUACAAAUAAGAAGAUUAUCUAAAAUAUUUGCUUGCUUGGAAAAUCUGGAGAAUAAAUACAUAUUGCUGAACUGAAUGAUUUACUUGAAGGAUAUAAGAAGGCAUUAUUUAAUAUUGUAACUUUUCAGUUAAACAGAUCCUAUAAGACGGAAUUUUUUUCUACCACGAUGAAGAUAUGAGCAAAGUCCAAGAUAUUUCCUACCUAUUAUCGAAAGGAUAUAUAUAUGUUAGAGCAACUGCUGGAAGCAAUAACUAACUACAGCUACAUUUCUUUUUGAAUCUACGACCAGUAUUUACAAAAACAUUUUAACGGUUAACUGACCCAAUGGUUGGUCUCAUGGGUUUGCAAAGAUAUAGAGAAAUGCUGUAGUGACGAAAGUUUGCUGUAUCCUCUAUCCUGACUCCUGCAGCUGCAUUGCAAGUAUGUGAAGUUGAACUUAUUAAUUGUAACUAGACCAUGUAAGGCAACAAUAAAUUGUACAGUAACAAAAAAAAAA